rnacentral:rRNA from 1 species
AAUUUGAAAUCUGGCCCUUCUGGGGUCCGAGUUGUAAUUUGUAGAGAGUGCUUCGGGUGAGACUGCGGUCUAAGUCCAUUGGAACAUGGCGUCCCAGAGGGUGAGAAUCCCGUAUGUGACCGCGGCUCGAGCCCAUGUGAAGCCUCUUCGACGAGUCGAGUUGUUUGGGAAUGCAGCUCUAAAUGGGUGGUAAAUUUCAUCUAAAGCUAAAUACUGGCUGGAGACCGAUAGCGCACAAGUAGAGUGAUCGAAAGAUGAAAAGCACUUUGGAAAGAGGGUUAAACAGUACGUGAAAUUGUUGAAAGGGAAGCGCUGGCAACCAGACCUGUCCGUAGGCGAUCACCCGUUGUUCUCAGCGGUGCACUCGUUCUGCGAUCAGGCCAGCAUCGGUUCGGGCGGGCGGAUAAAGGUCUUGGGAAUGUAGCUCCCUUUCGGGGGAGUCUUAUAGCCCUCGAUGCAAUGCGCCCAGCCGGGACCGAGGACCGCGCUUCGGCUAGGAUGCUGGCGUAAUGGUUGUCAGCGACCC